CAAGGCAUAGCUCAAUACAAAGCAUCCGGCUUACACCCAGAAGACAUCAACACUAUUUGAUUGCCUUGA
rnacentral:tRNA from 1 species